rnacentral:rRNA from 1 species
CCGGCGCACGGGUGAGUAACACGUAUGCAACCUGGCCGUGACAGAUGGAUGACCGGGAGAAAUCCCGCCUAAUACAGCAUGACGCCGGGAAGGGACAUCCCUUUCCGGCCAAAGGGGGCGACUCCGGUCACGGAUGGGCAUGCGGCGCAUUAGGUAGUUGGUGGGGCAACGGCCCACCAAGCCGACGAUGCGUAGGGGUUCUGAGAGGAAGGUCCCCCACAUUGGAACUGAGACACGGUCCAAACUCCUACGGAAGGCAGCAG